rnacentral:rRNA from 1 species
GACGAACGCUGGCGGCGUAGCUUAACACAUGCAAGUUGAACGGGCAUACAUGGAAGCUUGCUGAAGUGUAUGUUAGUAGCGGACGGGUGAGUAAUGCAUGAGAAGCUGCCAUUGGAGGGGGACAACAGUUGGAAACGGCUGCUAAUACCCCGUAUGCCGAAAGGUAAAAGGGAGCAAUCCGCCUGAUGAGGUGCUCAUGUCCUAUCAGCUGGUUGGUGGGGUAACGGCCUACCAAGGCGACGACGGGUAGCCGGCCUGAGAGGGUGAACGGCCACACUGGAACUGAGAUACGGUCCAGACUCCUACGGGAGGCAGCAGUGGGGAAUAUUGGGCAAUGGGGGAAACCCUGACCCAGCGACGCCGCGUGAGGGAAGACGGCCUUCGGGUUGUAAACCUCUUUUGUACGGGAAGAAGGAAGUGACGGUACUGUACGAAUAAGUCCCGGCUAACUACGUG